rnacentral:rRNA from 1 species
AGAAUGAACGCUGGCGGCGUGGUUAAGACAUGCAAGUCGAACGGUUUUUCAGGUGUAGCAAUACAUUUGAAAGACAGUGGCGAACGGGUGCGUAACACGUGAACAAUCUACCUUUUAAUGGGGAAUAGCUCGCCGAAAGGCGAAUUAAUACCGCAUACGGUUGGUUUCCUCCUGGAGACCAUACCAAAGUCAGGGACCGCAAGGCCUGACGUUAGAAGAGGAGUUCGCGGCCUAUCAGCUAGUUGGCGAGGUAACGGCUCACCAAGGCUAAGACGGGUAGCUGGUCUGAGAGGAUGAUCAGCCACACUGGAACUGGAGACACGGUCCAGACGACCGUACGGGGUG